CCUGGUUCAUUAACUUAUGAACCAAGACCAAAUUACAGAGUUUGAUGAGGCAAGAGCUUGUCCUUAUGUGGCCAUAUCUGAGCCAAUUCGUGAUGCCUUCAAUUAAGUUUGCGUACUAAGAGGUAUUUCAUGAUGCUCUUUUAUGUUCCAGGAUCAAAAUUCAGAAAUUCUAAAAAUAGAUUUUUAUGACGUCAUCACUUCGGUACUCUAUUGUUUUUCCUUUGGAACAUAAAAGCUCACAAUUCACCCACUUCUCUUCCCAUUGCCGAAUGCCUAAUUCAAGUCUUCGCAAAAGUUGUGUCGAUCUUUGGGAAAAUGAUACAUCAAAACCAUGCUUUACUUUAUUUGAGAUGUGUGUUAAUUUUCGUGAGACCCUCUCUAGCUCACUUAUGGGUACUAGAGAAGAAAGGUCGAGCUCAAUAUCACGUGCUGCGUUCAUGUGGUUUUCAGCGUCAACAUCAUUUUAUCAAUCUACUAACACCAAGAUACGCUAAUAUGCAAAUGAGCCCGAACAACGGAUCCACAUCGCUCGGUGGUCUAACCCCUCCCCUGCUCGAAGGGCAGAGCGUAUUUCCCCAGGAAGAAUUUAAAUGGAAGCUGGAUAAUUGAUCUACCAGAACAAGGGUAUUACGUCAUUUUUGGUGGCUUGGUUCGCGAUACAUUUGCAUUUUCUGAGACGGAAAUUGAAAGUUUCUGCUUCGUAGUGAGAUUCUUAUUGUUUGAUUCGCUGAUCAUUACAAUCGAACAAUAGGAACGUGACACCACGAGCCAUUCACUUUGCUAAAGCAAGAGGGCAAGAGAGCUUCGAUCAAGCAGCAGGUUGUUCUGUUCCUUUCCGUUGUUCUUUGUCGUUGGGAAUGGUUGCCGUCUGUGGCGUAGCGUGCGCGCAAAAUUUAGGCAUGCGGUAACAGAUCAUAUACGUUUAUGUUGAAAAAAUAAAAUCGUGAUUUCAGCUUUUUAUAAAUACAAGCGGCAAUUCAAGGUAAUCGUGAUUAUAAAUUUUGAUUUUGAAAAUACGCUUAGGUUUGGAAACCCUGUGCUUCUCAUAUGAGUCGAUCACGAAAGAAGAUAGGCAAACAGAGUCAUGUGGACGUGGAGGGGCUUCAGUAUUUCAGAUUUUUCAAAAGUCGCAAAUUUUUAGCGAUCUGUUUACCUGAUAAAAUAACCAAUAGACAUGUUUACGCUGGGGGCCAUUUAUUGCGGAAUAUAUUAUACAAUGACUUUAACACUACAAAAUAUUUAUUACCGGUAAAAAUGUUGCAAGAAUUUUAGAAUUUCUGUAGAAUUUUUCACGCUUGCCCCGCAUACAUGGAUGCUACGUCACUGGUUGCUGUAUCAGGCCGGUGAGUUUGAGGCUUAACGUUUCCUUAACUUCUUUUAAGCUGUGUCUUUCGUUCGACCUUUUGAUAAGAAAGUCGCUUAACAAACUCCUUUUGAUAACAAACUCCUUUUUAGAAAUUGCAACAACAAAUCGGCUUGCGAGGUAAACUGCUGAUGGUUCGUCUUCUUCCCUCUUUUCUGCCAGAAAAGCAUAACUGCAACAAAUUUAUCCCCUGCCUGCCUUACUGAUGCCACAAAGUCAUGCAUAUCAUCCAACGUUUCAAGUGUUCUGACGAAGAUAUGAUAGUUGAGCCUCCAGAUGAACAAAACUGCAGGGCAAUUUAGAUUUUCCGCUUUUAAAUCUUAAUUUUUGAUGAAUUAUGCUUUGGGGAAUUAUGAUUUCUAAAGAAAUAUCAGAUGCCCUUUUUCUGGGCUGCAGUUACUGCUACGACGAUGAAACUUUGAUCAUGGUUGAAACAGUUUUCUUGUAAAAUGGCUGUUGUAAAGUAAGGUUGAGCCAUAAUGGUACUGUGCAGCGGCGUGCGCAGCGAAUUAGAACGCAGCACGCCAGCAAUAAAAUCAGUGUAGUGAAGAGAUUGUAACAUACAGUGAUGGAAUAGUGAUUUUGGUUGCAAAUAAAUAUUAAAGCUUUUGUUGAUAUAAUAUGGUGUUGUCUCUCUAAACCCUGCACAGCCCGGUCCACAGAAAUAAAGUAUGCAACAAUGGCUUAACGUUUGAUUCAGAAUAAACAGGAGAGCUAAAAGAAAUGCAAUUCAGAGUAGGGCCUUUGCAGCCCUACCAAGAAAUCUGCGGCCGCCGGCUCCACCGUCAGAAGUACGUUGCCACAGGUCGCAAGCUGUAAAGCAAGUGGUGAGUUUAUUAUUACACCCAUACUCUUAAGAAUACUUGCAUUUAACUUCUAAAUGUUUGAGUAUGAUCUUAUAUUUCUCGUAUUAUGACUCGUUAACACACAAACUCUUAGACAAAGAUGCUUAGUCUAAUAGCUAUCAUAAUUGACUCUUCUGUAUGACCUCCUCUAAGCCUUGUCCACAACGAUGCAUUUUUUGAAAUCUUUCAGUUCAAAACCUAAAUUUUUCCGUAUGGCGUUCACCCUGAAGCGACAAUGAAUGCCUUGCUAAAAGAUUUCAGAGCUAUUAUCCCUGCCAAGGUCCUUCUCUUC